UCCCGGUGUUGGGGUAGUCCAGAACCAGGGGCCACAGUUUAAGAAUAAAGGGUCAGCCACUUAGGACUGAGAUGAAGAAAAAUGUUUUCACCCAGAGAGUUGUGAAUCUGUGGAAUUCUCUGCCACAGAAGGCAGUGGAGGCCAAUUCACUGGAUA